GGAGGAUGGGUAUGAGCAAGACUGAGAGAGGUUCAUCAGUGCUGGAUUUUCUAACAGCAGUGAACUAAACCCAUGCUUAGGACAUUGGCAAAGGAGGAAUGGCUAAUAAGCAUCCAUGUCCUCCAGGAUAUAAAGGAAGAAGUUGAGGGAUGGAUGCAGAGUAUACUAUUCUCCACCAUUACAAAUUGGGCACCUUUGCUUUUGAAUGAGUGACCACAGCCCUGGAAACUUGUAUGCUUUGCUAAUUGAGGGCAGAUGAGCCUCAGGUCAAUCCCCCAUCAAUUAUCCACUCAACAACAAUAAAAUGCUAACUUGUAUGCCCUA
rnacentral:lncRNA from 1 species